GUGCCAGCCGCCGCGGUAAUACCGGCAGCCCGAGUGAUGGCCGAUCUUAUUGGGCCUAAAGCGUCCGUAGCUGGCUGCGCAAGUCCGUCGGGAAAUCCACUCGCUCAACGAGUGGGCGUCCGACGGAAACUGCAUAGCUUGGGACCGGAAGGCUCGAAGGGUACGGCCGGGGUAGGAGUGAAAUCCUGUAAUCCCGUCCGGACCACCGAUGGCGAAAGCACUUCGAGAAAACGGAUCCGACAGUGAGGGACGAAAGCCAGGGUCUCCAACCGGAUUAGAAACCCGAGUAGUCC
rnacentral:rRNA from 1 species